AUGGCUGAAAAAGCAGAGGCUACAUUAUCUCGCUAUGUGGUCCCUAUUCUUCUCUUAAUUGGCUGGAUUGUGGGAUGCAUCGUAAUGGUUUAUGUUGUCUUCUCUUAGAAAGGCCAGAAGACUUCAGACUGACAUCAUUUAGAAGAAUUAAGAAAAGCAUGAAAUGACAGAUUAUUAAAUGUUUCUCAUGUAAAUGACUGCAAUGGUUGACAUCAGUUUAUAAACUUGCAUUUGUAAACUGUUGCUUUGAACCUAAGAAUCUCAUCAGAAACAUAUUUUAAAAUUCUGGGUACAAAUAACUAUAGGAAAAUAUAGAUGAAUUUCUUUAUCACUUGAGAGUAAGAAAAAUGUUCCUAACUAUGACUUAAAAUGCAUAACCAAUAGGAAAACAUUUGGUAAAUUAAACAUAAAAAAGUGAGCCAGAAAUAAGAGACAUAGUUCAUAGAAAACAAAAUGUAAAUGUAAACUUGUCCCUUAAAACUCUUAUUACAUAAUAAGAGAACUGUAAUUAACUCUGAACGGAAGAGGCAUUAUUCACCUGUCAGAUGGGAAAUAUGAAGAUAUUUGACAGUAUAUACUGGUAAGGCUGUGGGGAAAUAAGUACUCUUCUAUACUGUUUUUAGAAAUCCAAAAUGAUACAAUACUUUUGGGAGUAUUUAGCAAUCACAGUACCAGAAUUACCAUAUGCAUUUAACUUUUGACCCAGCUAUUCCUCUUCUAGGAAUACUGAUGUUUCCUCAGAUACACUGGUAAAAAUACAAAACCAUAUAUGCACAAGUCUAUUCAUUAUAGCAUAAUCUAUUAGAGCAAAACCCUGGAAAAAGCCAAAUAUCUAUUAAUAGAAGACCAACUGAAUAAAUUGUAGUCAAUCCACA
rnacentral:lncRNA from 1 species